rnacentral:rRNA from 1 species
CACGUAGGGGCCAAGCGUUGUCCGGAUUUAUUGGGCGUAAAGAGCUCGUAGGCGGUUCGACAAGUCGGGUGUGAAAACUCCGGGCUCAACCCGGAGACGCCACCCGAUACUGUCGUGACUGGAGUCUGGUAGGGGAGUGGGGAAUUCCUGGUGUAGCGGUGAAAUGCGCAGAUAUCAGGAGGAACACCGGUGGCGAAGGCGCCACUCUGGGCCGGUACUGACGCUGAGGAGCGAAAGCGUGGGUAGCAAACAGG